AGUGGUGCCCUGAGACUUGCGCUGCAUUCUUUGAGCAAGGCGACCUGUCCGAGGACACCACCACCCCCGCUCACCAGGACCCAGAGCCAGUCGCUGGUCCUUCUCGUCCUGCCAGCGAGACCCGCGAGGCACCCGCGCAGCACUUGCCGGACAUAUCAGAUGCUGUCGAGGACGACGCAUGAUCAGGAUGGCCGUGUUGGAUCCUACUACCCUACGUAGGAGCAAGGGCCGGGCGUUCCCUAUAAAAGCGCAGCGAACGGUGGCGCAGGCCUCUUUUCUCGGCUGGACUCGGUGGCGUGCGGAAGCUCUGCUCGUGGUGUAAUCUGCUGUUCGGUAUUUGUGUCUUUCUUUAAUUUCUAUUGUUGAUUUGUAUAAUUGGUAAUAAUUCUGUUCCUCUGUUAGUUUGUUAAGUUUGGUUAUAAUUUUUGUAAAUACAUGUGAUUAGUUUUUAGGUUAAUAAAUAAUUCUUUUUUUUAA